rnacentral:rRNA from 1 species
UACGGGGGGGGCAAGCGUUGUUCGGAAUUACUGGGCGUAAAGGGCUCGUAGGCGGCCAACUAAGUCAUACGUGAAAUCCCUCGGCUUAACCGGGGAACUGCGUCUGAUACUGGAUGGCUCGAGUUCGGGAGAGGGAUGCGGAAUUCCAGGUGUAGCGGUGAAAUGCGUAGAUAUCUGGAGGAACACCGGUGGCGAAGGCGGCAUCCUGGACCGAUACUGACGCUGAGGAGCGAAAGCCAGGGGAGCAAACGGG